AUUGAACGCUGGCGGCAUGCCUAACACAUGCAAGUCGAACGCGUGGCGGGCGGGUGAGUAAUGUCUGGAAAAAUGCCUGAUGGAGGGGGAUAACUACUGGAAACGGUAGCUAAUACCGCCUACCAUCCGAUUUGACCAGAUGGGAUUAGGUAGUAGGUGGGGUAAAGGCUCACCUAGGCGACGAUCCCUAGCUGGUCUGAGAGGAUGACCAGCCACACUGGAACUGAGACACGGUCCAGACUCCUACGGGAGGCAGCAGUGGGGAAUAUUGCACAAUGGGCGCAAGCCUGAUGCAGCCAUGCCGCGUGUAUGAAGAAGGCCUUCGGGUUGUAAAGUACUUUCAGCGGGGAGGCGUUACCCGCAGAGGAAGCACCGGCUAACUCCGUGCCAGCAGCCGCGGUAAUUC
rnacentral:rRNA from 1 species